rnacentral:rRNA from 1 species
UACGGGGGGGGGUAAGCGUUGUUCGGAAUUACUGGGCGUAAAGGGCUCGUAGGCGGCCAACUAAGUCGGACGUGAAAUCCCUCAGCUUAACUGGGGAACUGCGCCCAAUACUACCGUGCUUGAGGGAGAUAGAGGUGAGCGGAACUUAGGGUGGAGCGGUGAAAUGCGUUGAUAUCCUAAGGAACACCGGUGGCGAAAGCGGCUCACUGGAUCUCUUCUGACGCUGAGGCACGAAAGCUAGGGUAGCGAACGGG